rnacentral:lncRNA from 1 species
GGUUGAGAGGCUGACUCCGUUUUCUCUGGGUUCCCUCCAGGGCCUGUGCAGCUGGACAGGGGCCAGGGCGCCUGGUGAGUGACCCCUGCCUGAACUCACUGCCCACUCGAAGAGCCCCCAACCCAGGGAGGAACCUGACAGUGGAGACUCAGACCACCAGCUCCAUCUCCCUGAGCUGGGAGGUCCCCGAUGGCCUAGACUCACAGAACUCCAACUACUGGGUUCAGUGUACUGGAGACGGCGGCACAACAGAGACUCGAAACACAACAGCCACCAACGUCACCGUGGAUGGCCUUGGACCCGGGUCAUUGUAUACGUGUUCUGUGUGGGUGGAGAAAGACGGAGUAAAUAGCUCUGUGGGGACUGUCACUACUGCCACAGCUCCCAACCCAGUGAGGAACCUGAGAGUGGAGGCUCAGACCAACAGCUCCAUCGCCCUGACCUGGGAGGUCCCCGACGGCCCAGACCCACAGAACUCCACCUACGGGGUUGAGUACACUGGAGAUGGUGGCAGAGCAGGGACUCGAAGCACAGCACACACUAACAUCACCGUGGAUGGACUUGAACCCGGGUGUUUGUAUG